rnacentral:ncRNA from 1 species
ACAUUAGAAAAACCGCCUAGAAUGCAAGAGCUAAGGAACAAUCCUAAAACAUGCAUAUUAGAAUAAAGUAACCUUAAACCAAUAAUUAAGUGCAUAUUUGUACAUAAUUCUAGACCUAAAACAUGCAUCAAACCUUGAAUUCUAGAACGUAUGCAUUUAUUAGAUAAAAGGUAGAUGCAGGCAUUGUCCAUUGCUGUGAUGAUUCAUGAUAACUCGAUGGAUCGCACGACCAUCAUGUCAGGGACGCAUCAGUCAAAUUUCAGAGAAUUAGGAAUUGAUUGCAGAGAUAGAGCCUAAGAAAUGGCUACCACAUUAAAGGAAGGCAACAGGCAUGCAAAUUACCCAAUCCUAACACGGGGAGUUAGUGACAAUAAAUAACAAUACCGGGAUAAAUGAGUCUUGUAAUUGGAAUGAGUACAAUCUAAAUCCCUUAACAAGGAUCCAUUGGAGGGAAAGUCUGGUGCCUGCAGCCGUUGUCUUUCGCCCAGAUCAU